rnacentral:rRNA from 1 species
UUAAAUUGAAGAGUUUGAUCAUGGCUCAGAUUGAACGCUGGCGGCAGGCCUAACACAUGCAAGUCGAACGGUAACAGGAAGAAUCUUGCU